UCCUGGCUGGCUCAAUCGGAAGAGCAUGGGACUCUUAAUCUCAGGUUUGUGAGUUCAAGCCCCACAUUGGGUG
rnacentral:tRNA from 1 species